rnacentral:lncRNA from 1 species
GUUCUCAAGAGAUCUGACAGUUUUAUAAGGGUCUUUUCCCCUUUUGCUCAGCACUUCUCCUUCCUGCCUGCCACCAUGUGAAGAAGGAUGUGUUUGCUUCCCCUUCCACCAUGACUGUAAGUUUCCUGAGGCCUCCCCAGCCAUGCUGAACGCACGCCAUGGGUCAUCAGCAACUGGAGGAAGCGCCGGUGGACAUCAGUCAUGACGCCCAUUCUCCUUGUGCUGCCCUGCAUGUGGGAACGAACUGAAAAGGAAGUAAAUGACACUAGUCAACCCCAAGCACAUCAGAAGCAACGUCCUGGGUCUUGUA